GAAAUGCGAUACUUGGUGUGAAUUGCAGAAUCCCGUGAACCAUCGAGUCUUUGAACGCAAGUUGCGCCCGAAGCCUUCCGGCCAAGGGCACGUCUGCCUGGGCGUCACGCAUCGCGUCGCCCCCACCUCCCAAUUUGGAUGUGUGCGGGGCGGAGAGUGGCCUCCCGUGUGCCUCUUGCCCACACGGAUGGCCGAAACAAGGAGCUUGCGGCGGUGAGCGCCGUGACAUUCGGUGGUUGGAUGGGCACUUGUCCUACGAAGCAUCUUGUCACGAAGCGCCACCCUGUGUUUGCUCGGAGGACUCGAAUCGGUCGAUGUUAUUGCGAUCUAUCGCCUAUCAUCGAUCACCAUUGCGACCCCAGGUCAGGCGGGACUACCCGCUGAGUUUAA
rnacentral:misc_RNA from 1 species